rnacentral:misc_RNA from 1 species
UUUNGUUUGCCCCUUCCCAUCNGACGCUCCUUGCGGGUUGUNGGAGGGCCGCAUAGUAGUCCCCGUGUUCCAUGAGAGCCUCGUGCUGGCGUCGGCUCUCAAGGCCCACGGGGAUCUAUUGGUCUCUCGGAUGCGGUUCGCACGGCGGUCGCGUGACGGACGUCACAUUUGCCCGUUCGAAAAUUCGGUUUGCCUGAAUGAUGUCCGUGCCUGCGUCGAUUCGCCCCGCACAGCUCGGCGACGUCGCGCANUGCCCGGCAUCANANAGGGAUGCUACCUGGUUGAUCCUGCCAGUAGUCAUAUGCUUGUCUCA